AGUGAACGCUGGCGGUAGGCCUAACACAUGCAAGUCGAACGGCAGCACAGUAAGAGCUUGCUCUUACGGGUGGCGAGUGGCGGACGGGUGAGGAAUACAUCGGAAUCUACUUUUUCGUGGGGGAUAACGUAGGGAAACUUACGCUAAUACCGCAUACGACCUACGGGUGAAAGCAGGGGAUCUUCGGACCUUGCGCGAUUGAAUGAGCCGAUGUCGGAUUAGCUAGUUGGCGGGGUAAAGGCCCACCAAGGCGACGAUCCGUAGCUGGUCUGAGAGGAUGAUCGGCCACACUGGAACUGGGACACGGACCAGACUCCUACGGGAGGCAGCAGUGGGGAAUAUUGGACAAUGGGCGCAAGCCUGAUCCAGCCAUACCGCGUGGGUGAAGAAGGCCUUCGGGUUGUAAAGACCUUUUGUGGGGAAAGAAAAGCAGCAGGUUAAUACCCCGCUGUUCUGACGGUACCCAAAAAAUAAGCACCGGCUAACUUCGUG
rnacentral:rRNA from 1 species